CCUUGACAUACUAAGAACUUUCCAGAGAUGGAUUGGUGCCUUCGGGAACUUAGAUACAGGUGCUGCAUGGCUGUCGUCAGCUCGUGUCGUGAGAUGUUGGGUUAAGUCCCGCAACGAGCGCAACCCUUUUCCUUAUUUGCCAGCGGGUCAUGCCGGGAACUUUAAGGAUACUGCCAGUGACAAACUGGAGGAAGGCGGGGACGACGUCAAGUCAUCAUGGCCCUUACGGCCAGGGCUACACACGUGCUACAAUGGUCGGUACAAAGGGUUGCUACCUCGCGAGAGGAUGCUAAUCUCAAAAAGCCGAUCGUAGUCCGGAUCGCAGUCUGCAACUCGACUGCGUGAAGUCGGAAUCGCUAGUAAUCGCGGAUCAGAAUGCCGCGGUGAAUACGUUCCCGGGCCUUGUACACACCGCCCGUCACACCAUGGGAGUUUGUUGCACCAGAAGUAGGUAGUCUAACCGCAAGGAGGACGCUUACCACGGUGUGGACCGAUGACUGGGGUGAAGUCGUAACAAGGUAAGCGUAGAUGA
rnacentral:rRNA from 1 species